rnacentral:rRNA from 1 species
AUACGGAGGGUGCAAGCGUUACUCGGAAUCACAGGGCGUAAAGCGCGCGCAGGCGGCCUGAUAGGUUGGAUGUGAAAGCCUACGGCUCAACCGUAGAACUGCAUCCAAAACUGUCAGGCUAGAGUGUGGGAGAGGAAGAUGGAAUUAGUUGUGUAGGGGUAAAAUCCGUAGAGAUAACUAGGAAUACCAAAAGCGAAGGCAAUCUUCUGGAACACUACUGACGCUGAGGCGCGAAGGCGUGGGGAGCAAACAGGAUUAGAAACCCCAGUAGUCC